UGCCAGCAGCCGCGGUAAGACGAAGGUGGCAAGUGUUGCUCGGAAUUACUGGGCAUAAAGAGCGCGUAGGUGGCUUGGUAAGCGGGGGAUGAAAUCCCAUGGCUCACCCAUGGAACUGUCUUCCGAACUGCCUCGCUUGAGGACGGUAGGGGAAAGUGGAAUUCCUGGUGUAGCGGUGAAAUGCGUAGAUAUCAGGAGGAACGCCGGUGGCGAAAGCGACUUUCUGGACCGUUCCUGACACUGAGGCGCGAAAGCUAGGGGAGCAAACAGGAUUAGAUA
rnacentral:rRNA from 1 species